UGGGGAAUCUUGCGCAAUGGCCGAAAGGCUGACGCAGCGACGCCGCGUGUGGGAGGACGCCUUUCGGGGUGUAAACCACUGUUGCCCGGGACGAACUCCUCGCAUUGGCGGGGGUGACGGUACCGGGUGAGGAAGCACCGGCUAACUCCGUGCCAGCAGCCGCGGUAAUACGGAGGGUGCGAGCGUUGUCCGGAAUCAUUGGGCGUAAAGGGCGCGUAGGUGGCCGGGUCAGUUCGUGGUGAAAGCGCGGAGCUCAACUCCGCGUCGGCCAUGAAUACUGCUGGGCUGGAGCACUGUAGAGGCAGGCGGAAUUCCGGGUGUAGCGGUGGAAUGCGUAGAGAUCCGGAAGAACACCGGUGGCGAAGGCGGCCUGCUGGGCAGUAGCUGACACUGAGGCGCGACAGCGUGGGGAGCAAACAGGAUUAGAUACCCGCGUAGUCC
rnacentral:rRNA from 1 species